rnacentral:rRNA from 1 species
GAUGAACGCUAGCGACAGGCUUAACACAUGCAAGUCGAGGGGCAGCACGAUGUAGCAAUACAUUGGUGGCGACCGGCGCACGGGUGAGUAACGCGUAUGCAAUCUACCUAUAAGUGGGGAUAACAUCCGGAAACGGGUGCUAAUACCGCAUAAUAACCGACACCACAUGGUGUAAGUUUGAAAGAUGGCUCUGCUGUCACUUAUAGAUGACCUUGCGGUGCAUUAGCUAGUUGGUGGGGUAAGUAGCCUACCAAGGCCAUGAUGCAUAGCCGACCUGAGAGGGUGAUCGGCCACAUUGGGACUGAGACACGGCCCAA